GCCAUUUUAUUACUGAUUCUAGCCUCUAUCCCCUUUUCUACGAAAACCUAUUUUUGUGCCGCUCCAAAUCAACCAGAUUCUUGCCGCCACUUGUAGUGGUGUGCUGCCCCUUUGUGUACCACUUGUGGACUGCUAUUUUUCUCUUCUUUUUUUGCCCAUUACAGAAGUGUUUCCCUCAAUUUUCAUUUCUUUAAAACAACAUUUAACAUUAUUAAUUAAGGGUGUAUCCAAUCUUAUUCAACCAACAUCUCAGAUCUAGUUAACGUGAAGCGUAAGUGCAGAUUUAAGCGAGUUAUUGUGUUGUAUUCAUUUCGUUAAAUUUUUUGGUUUGGUCGAAUGUUCUAAGGCCUUUAAUUGGUUAUUGAUUACUGAUUUUAAAGUAUUAUUUCAAUAUUAGGUACUAAUUUGAACGUGCCAGAUCAGUAGUGAAGUCGAAUUCCGUUUGUGCCCUCGUUUCGCAUCAAAUUAAUGUAACUUACCUUGCCAAAUUGGAUCUGAAAAUUUGUUGGUGUAACACUAAUUUGGCCGAACCAUUAGGGGGUGUUUCAAGGCUUGUUUUAACAGUAUUUUAAAGCAUUAAAUGUUAUAAUUUGGUUUUAGGCAUGUUUAAGGUUUAAGUGUGGAAGCACGAACUUUGCGGAUUAGUGUUGUGGACUUGCGAUUUAAGGUGUGGGUCUUAACUUUCUAUAAAUAGUUGUUAUAUUAAUAUAAUUCUUAAACUGAUACUAAAUUCUUGCUGGUCGGGCAUGGCUUAAUGGCUUAAUAAGUGAAUUAAAGGUCGUUGAACAAGUUACGUGAAUUAAAAAUCAUUGUUUGAGUGAUUAAGCCCUUAUCAAGAUUGUUUGUUUGCGUAAUUGUUGUAUUUGAGUGUCUCUUUGAUUGCCAAUGUUAUGGAUUAUUGUAUGUUGGUUGUGACAUUCUUUGAAAUGAUGUUAUAUCAUGUUCAUUGAUUAUGGGAUGCAUGAUUAGUGUUCAACAUGUAAUGUCACUAUUCGAAUUGCAUACUAAGUUUGACAAGAUUGUAUCACAUGUUACAUACCAAUAAAAUUGUUGGUUUGAUUGACUGAAUGUUUACAAAACUAAAAUCGGACAUGUAUUGAAAGCCUGGUUGAAUUAUUGUUAUUAAUAAAUUAAAAGUAUGCAAGGCAUACAUCAACUCUGAUUAUUGAUAUGAAUGGUAGGCAUGCCAUUGAAUUGAAUAUGUUACUGUAAGCACGAAAAACAUAUCAUUGUACUGAAACUGAACUGAAAGCAUGAUUUUGCUAAAUGAUUGUAUGUCAUAAUGCAUAUGAAUGGGGUGGGUUAUUGUGGUUGACGGAGGAGUUCCGUGGAGUACCAGCGGUAAUUAAAGUCCGCAUUAUUGUUGUCAGUGCACUGCACUGGGAGUACCAAGGAGAUUGGCGAUUUUAUCGCAUUAUAGGCAGUUUGUCUACAUAUAUUGGCAGUUUAUCUGCACUACUGUACUGGUGGUUUAUCCACAUCGAGCUAUAGUUCGCACUGUUUAGUGUUCAGCAGACGUGUUCUGGGAAACUCGUGGUGUGUAGCAGAUGGUUGGGUAGGAACCUUUGCUUUGCACCAUUUGCAUCACCCCAUGAUCAUACGCCGUUUGGUACCGUAUAAUAAUUGUUAUGUAUCGACAUGAAUUUGCAAUGUUAGCUCUAUGUUUUUCUGUUAACACUUAUAUGCAUUGCUUGAUGAAAUGUCGCGUUUAUUAUAGAUAUUGUAUUAAUGAUUCUCUGCGUUACCGUAGCUGAAUGUAUGUUGGUUUAAAUAAUUGUUUGACUCACACUGAGCGUUCAUAAGCUCACUUCCCCAUAAUAUUUAACUUUUCAGGCAAACCUCGAAACUAGGACCGGACCCAGCAUACAGAGUAUUAUCUCGGGCAUCGAACUAUUUUUAAUUAAUUAUUAUUAAUAAGUCUAUUGGUUUUGGUUUGUAAUUUUAAUUAUUUUUGGUUUGUGGCUUGGUAACUUUUCAUUUAGGGAUUUUUGUAGUCAUGGAUUACUUAAACAUAAUAACCGGUAAAGGCAUGAUAUCUGGCUUAAGUAUGAUUGACAUUAAUAUCCAAUUUCCAUUGCAUUGCAAAGAAACUAUUUUUGGAAAAACAAACAAACCGAUAAGGCAACUAGAUUUCCAAAAUGACACG
rnacentral:lncRNA from 1 species